rnacentral:misc_RNA from 1 species
GCCCCAUUGAAGCAAUCAAAUAGCUGAACCCAACAGGUAUAUAUCACUAUCAAAAAAAAUGUCAAUAUUCAUUCCUUAAGAAAUAAGGGGGAUAAUCAUCCAAUGGCCUGCUUCAGAAAAGCAGUGUGAAUGAUAAUUACUUCAAACAUGAGUUAAACAGUAAUUAUAGGUUCAGGUUAUAUUGAUGUAUAUAUCAAUAUACUGCUAUCCUGCAGAAAAAAAAAAUAACUACCACACCUAAAAUGUGCACCAGAUUGCCCGUAAAAUACAUGGUACAACAACUUUUGUUUGCUGCAAAAAAUGCAUAGUUUUGACAUGUAUCUCACAUAAAUUGAUUGUUACAACUAGCUUCAUAUUAAAAUAAAAAAU